AAGGCUGAGUCAACCUUGAACCUGGUGAGAUUCGAUCUGCCAAACUGCUGGCAGCCGGUGAUCAGCAGAAGUAGCUUGCAGUACUGCACUCUAACCCAGAGAAAUAACUCAAGGUGGAGAACAUAUUCAACGCACAUUCCUCCUCCUCCUAUUUCCCCCACAACAUGAGACUUAAGUCUCAUUAAACUGUCUUUUUGGAUGGUCCAGAUUUAAACAUUUGGAUGCAGUGAUGCUGAUGGCAGGCUGCCCAAGUUGUUCAAAAGCACAUCAACCCAAAAGAAAAAAAAAAGGCAGGCCUUCCUGUUGCAACUUGCUCAUCUUCCGUGCAAAAAAAAAGAAGAGAGAGAUUGCAUUGUGACUUAAGUCAUCUCAUUUCUUCUCUUUCACUCGAAUCUCAUGGCUAGAUCAGAACUUCUGUUAUUCUUACUCAGGAUUGUUCAGUUUAAAAAAAAGGGGGGGGGAGCUGAACCAACAUUUGCAAUGAAUCUGCUCUUGGGAUGUUUUGACCAAGUGGCAUCCUGUAGCUCGAAGUAUUUGUGAAAGAGAUUCCGUGGGGUGUAUAUUUACAUCGUUUUUGAGUUUUGAUCAUUGUAUUCAUAAAUACCAGGGCUUUCCUCAUGAAUUUGACAACUAAAAUGGAAAGCUGUGGGUGUUUUGUGAGUUUUGAAGGAUUUAAAAUCACUGCUCUGACUUGAUAGAAUGUACAUCGUUCCCCCAAAUUUUGUCUACACUGUUGGGGUUGUUUUAAACACAAGAUUCUUGUCUCUAGAAUGUCCAUUUUGUUCUGGGAGAUUGAUGAAGCAGAUUAAGCAAGAGCUCAGAAUCAUCCAGGACGAGAAUGUCAUCAGUCACAGUUGUUGACUUCUAACCUAACACAUCCCUUUGGAAUAACCUUUGCUCUUAUAUAAAGCCUAGGAACUUCAGAACCUUUAAAUGCCUCACUGUUAGUUGAAUCAAUACUCUAACCAAAGUCUAUCCUCAUUUAGACAAUCUAGAAUCCUAAUGGGGAUAAAGAGCCAUUAAGGGUUAUUUUACACAUAAUGCCUCUUUUGUAACUGCUGAAGGAUCAGCUAGUUUACAAUUCAGCGUCAAUACAAGAGACACUUUUUUCCCCAAGAAUAACAUUUGUUAUUUUAAAGACUCUUGAAAACACAUUCUAUUUAUAUUUGGUUAUCCCUUGCUUAUAGGCAAUUGCUGUACUUUGCUUUUGCUGCAUCUCUGUACGUUUUUUUACCAUUAGUCUGCUCAAGGCUUUGGAGAAAACUGCUUUGCUCUUAAAGCUGCAUUAGCACAUGCAAAGGUUAAUGAGAUGUGAAAAAGCUUUGCUGUAUUGAGGUUACAAAAGUCCAAAUGACCACUAGAUGUCAGAAAACAUUAGCUCUUUGCUGCCAUCUAAUGGCAGUCCAGAUACAAGAGCUCUCUCUAACUUCUACUUUCCAAUUGCAUAUAUUCCCCCCUUUUUUAUGACACAGUAAUCCCUUAAUUUGGGGUAAAGUUGGGGUAUUGGAUGGAGCUGAGCAU